CGCGCAGGCGGUUUGUUAAGUCAGAUGUGAAAGUCCACGGCUCAACCGUGGAAGUGCAUUUGAAACUGGCAGACUUGAGUACUGGAGGGGGUAGUGGAAUUCCCGGUGUAGAGGUGAAAUUCGUAGAUAUCGGGAGGAAUACCGGUGGCGAAGGCGACUACCUGGCCAGAUACUGACGCUGAGGCGCGAAAGCGUGGGGAGCAAACA
rnacentral:rRNA from 1 species